rnacentral:rRNA from 1 species
CCUACGGGAGGCAGCAGUGAGGAAUAUUGGGCAAUGGGGGCAACCCUGACCCAGCCAUGCCGCGUGAGUGAAGAAGGUCUUCGGAUUGUAAAGCUCUUUCGGACGUGCCGAUGAUGACGGUAGCGUCUAAAGAAGCACCGGCAAACUUCGUGCCAGCAGCCGCGGGAAUACGAAGGGUGCGAGCGUUGUUUGGAAUUACUGGUCUUAGGGGGAGUGUAGGCGGACAUGUAAGAUAGCGGGGAAAUGCCUGGGUUCAACCCCGGAACUGCCAUUAUGACUAUGUAUCUAGAGUAAUGGAGCGGAUAGCGGAAUAUCCAGUGUAGAGGUGAAAUUCGUAGAUAUUGGGUAGAACACCGGUGGCGAAGGCGGCUAUCUGGCCAUUUACUGACGCUGAGGCUCGAAAGCAUGGGGAUCAAACAGGAUUAGAUACCCUAGUAGUC